UCAAGAAACUCUCUCCCUCUUUCAUACCCACAGGUCCAACACCAAAAGAAAGAAAAUCUCUCAACUCUUCUCUCCCUCCCACACCUACGAGUCCAGCAACAAGGAAAAAGAUGGUUCGUAAUACUUUAUAGGUAGUUCUAGAAGCCAGAUCCAUAUAGCCACUAAGGAGAGACUUGCAAAAGAUGGUCAGAAGUCUAGCUCCCAAGACCUGAUAGAUAAGUAGUGGCUGCUCACAAACCAAGGUCCACCUUUUAUAACAUUCACGUAGUCCUCCUUCAAAGAGAAUAUGACGAGAAAAAAGUCUUUUCCGAGGCUGACACAGUCAAGCUUGCUGACUGGACGCCACAUAUUAAGAAGCCAUGGAUGUAAGAACUGGUAACCCAUCGGCUUGCCAAAAACUUUAACGAUAAGUGCGCUGGACCACUAAGCACGGAUGUGCACCUUUGUUUCUUUUGAAAAGUUAACCACUUUCAUACCUCUCGAUAGGUCGGAGAAGUCAUCAUCGGAUUCUACACUAGUGUCCAUCUCUCGGUCAAACUCAAAAGCUUGCUCAUAAGCUCCAGGAAUUUCUCUCAACAGCUUUGCUUUGUACGAGCCUUCCAUUCCUUCAAGACCAGAGGCUCCAUUCCUAUGGUUUUCCUUCACUUUCUUGGUGCUUCUUUGAAGUUCUUCAUCUUCUUCACGAGACUAUACAACAGUGUCCUUGCUUGUGUCUCACACGAUCUUCGUUCACAUUGUGUUAAAUAUUGUUAUACAUUCACUGUUACGGAAACCUACAUGUAUCCACAGUGUCAGUGUUAUUUUCUAUUUUGCAAUGUGAUUCUCUUUUAUAGAGUUUUGUUUAUAUACUGACAACACAACUCUAGGGUAGAAUCCCAAGACUUACUCCAUUUUGUAUAUGAUUUUUUUCUUUUUCUUUUUUUUCAUAAAUUUGAUGGUUAUAAUGGGAGACGAGAGAUUUAAAUCCUGGAUAUCUUCCUUAUAAAUACUAAGAGCAUUUGCAGCAGUGGAGCUAUAUAGGUAUAAUGGUAUAUUUUUAGCUUUUUAUCACAAAAAACACCAUGCAGCAAUGGAGCUAAAUCUAAAAGAUUUAGCUCCUCAGCUACAGUGCACAUCUAAAAAUAGAUGUGCACUGUAGCUCACAGGUAAAAAAAAAAAUACUUUUUUAUUACAAUUCUCUCUCCUCUCCAAUUAAAUAUACAUUUCCUAUUUUCUCUCUCUCUCUAUCCGGCUUCUCUCUUUCUUCUUUCUUCCUCAAUUUUUUUUUCUUUCUUCCUCAAUUUUUUUUCCUCUCUUUCUCGCCGGCCAGCUCCCUCGUCUCCCUCAUCCCUCAGCUCGCCGACCAACUCCCUCAACGCCGAUCUGUUCCGCCGGCCCAGCUCGCCGACCCACCCCAAGCCCCAUCGCCCACAUUGAUUCUGAUGACGAUUCCGACGAGGAAGCCCCCGACGCUGCAAACACUGAAACUCCGAUGAAGACGACUCCUCCAUUCGCACCUUCACCGCAGCUCGCCUCGACGCCGCCAACGCGGGUGGAGGCUCCGGUUCGGCUCAGCUCGAAACACGCAGAUCAAGACGGAGAAUCUGAGCUCCUCCGCCACGGUUAAGAUCAAGAAUCUGGGUCCCACAGCUCAGGCCGGGAGCUCGGUGCCUGGAAUCGUUGUU